AUUGAACGCUGGCGGCAUGCCUUACACAUGCAAGUCGAACGGUAACGCGGGGCAACCUGGCGACGAGUGGCGAACGGGUGAGUAAUACAUCGGAACGUGCCCAGUAGUGGGGGAUAGCCCGGCGAAAGCCGGAUUAAUACCGCAUACGACCUACGGGUGAAAGCGGGGGAUCGCAAGACCUCGCGCUAUUGGAGCGGCCGAUGUCAGAUUAGGUAGUUGGUGGGGGUAAAGGCCUACCAAGCCUACGAUCUGUAGCUGGUCUGAGAGGACGACCAGCCACACUGGGACUGAGACACGGCCCAGACUCCUACGGGAGGCAGCAGUGGGGAAUUUUGGACAAUGGGCGCAAGCCUGAUCCAGCCAUGCCGCGUGCGGGAAGAAGGGCCCUUCGGGUUGGUUAAAGCGUCUUUCGGUUGGGGGAAGGAAAGUUAGCUUGGGUUAAUACCCUGAGUAGAUGAC
rnacentral:rRNA from 1 species